AGAGCGAACGCUGGCGGCAGGCCUAACACAUGCAAGUCGAACGGUGAAGCCUUUCGGGGUGGAUCAGUGGCGAACGGGUGAGUAACACGUGAGUAAUCUGCCCUUGACUCUGGGAUAACUUCGGGAAAACCGUGGCUAAUACCGGAUAUGACGCAUGGUCGCAUGGUCUGUGUGUGGAAAGAUUUAUUGGUCAGGGAUGAGCUCGCGGCCUAUCAGCUUGUUGGUGGGGUAAUGGCCUACCAAGGCGACGACGGGUA
rnacentral:rRNA from 1 species